CGCUGGCGGCAUGCUUAACACAUGCAAGUCGCACGGUUGGGGGCAACUCCGGCAGUGGCGGACGGGUGAGUAACGCGUAGGUAUCUAUCCAUGGGUGGGGGAUAACGCUGGGAAACUGGUGCUAAUACCGCAUGACACCUGAGGGUCAAAGGCGCGAGUCGCCUGUGGAGGAGCCUGCGUCCGAUUAGCUAGUUGGUGGGGUAAAGGCCUACCAAGGCGACGAUCGGUAGCUGGUCUGAGAGGAUGAUCAGCCACAUUGGGACUGAGACACGGCCCAAACUCCUACGGGAGGCAGCAGUGGGGAAUAUUGGACAAUGGGCGGAAGCCUGAUCCAGCAAUGCCGCGUGUGUGAAGAAGGUUCUCGGAUUGUAAAGCACUUUCGGCGG
rnacentral:rRNA from 1 species